GUCGACAGUUGCGUCACGGUCGUUACACUUAGCGAGGGUUGCUGUUCUGAGCACUAGUUUUCUAUCGAAUCGAUGCAUUGGUGUCGAUGCUGACCAUCGAUAUCCGGUGCUGUUCUGUCUACUGGGGUGAAGUGGUGGUUGGGGCUUUUCGAGCGAUAGGUUUAAUGUGGCGUCUCGCUGCUACCGAAUGUUGCUCCUUAUUGAAGCAGCGGAGGGGGAAGCAUACGGCAAUGUAUGCCGUGAAUCUCAAUUCAAUAUGAGAGAUGAUGCUUUUGAUUUAUCAGAUAAUCAAUUUAUAGAGCUAUAUAGACUUCCAAGGGAUUGGUUUGCGAUUUAUGUGGGGAUUUGUGAACUUGCUUGGAACCACGCUGCUUUCGAGGGAGUGUUUUGUCUGUGG
rnacentral:lncRNA from 1 species